rnacentral:rRNA from 1 species
AUUGAACGCUGGCGGCAGGCCUAACACAUGCAAGUCGAGCGGCAGCGGAAAGUAGCUUGCUACUUUGCCGGCGAGCGGCGGACGGGUGAGUAAUGUCUGGGAAACUGCCUGAUGGAGGGGGAUAACUACUGGAAACGGUAGCUAAUACCGCAUAACGUCGCAAGACCAAAGAGGGGGACCUUCGGGCCUCUUGCCAUCAGAUGUGCCCAGAUGGGAUUAUCUAGUAGGUGGGGUAACGGCUCACCUAGGCGACGAUCCCUAGCUGGUCUGGUAGGAUGACCGGCCACACUGGACCGGAGACACGGUCCAGACUCCUACGGGAGGCAGCAGUGGGAAAUAUUGCACAAUGGGCGCAAGCCUGAUGCAGCCAUGCCGCGUGUAUGAAGAAGGCCUUCGGGUUGUAAAGUACUUUCAGCGAGGAGGAAGGCGCUGAGGUUAAUAACCUCAGCGAUUGAUGUUACCCGCAGAAGAAGCACCGGCUAACUCCGUGCCAGCCGCCGCAGUAA